rnacentral:rRNA from 1 species
AUUGAACGCUGGCGGCAUGCUUUACACAUGCAAGUCGAACGGUAACAGGGUGCUUGCACCGCUGACGAGUGGCGAACGGGUGAGUAAUGCGUCGGAACGUGCCGAGUAGUGGGGGAUAACGCAGCGAAAGUUGUGCUAAUACCGCAUACGUACUGAGGUAGAAAGUGGGGGACCUUCGGGCCUCACGCUAUUCGAGCGGCCGACGUCUGAUUAGCUAGUAGGUGGGGUAAAGGCUCACCUAGGCGACGAUCAGUAGCGGGUCUGAGAGGAUGAUCCGCCACACUGGGACUGAGACACGGCCCAGACUCCUACGGGAGGCAGCAGUGGGGAAUUUUGGACAAUGGGCGAAAGCCUGAUCCAGCCAUGCCGCGUGUCUGAAGAAGGCCUUCGGGUUGUAAAGGACUUUUGUCAGGGAGGAAAUCCCUAGUGCUAUUAACACUGGGGGAUGACAGUACCUGAAGAAUAAGCACCGGCUAACUACGUGCCAGCCGCCGACGUAA